AUUGAACGCUGGCGGCAGGCCUAACACAUGCAAGUCGAGCGAGUGGCGGCCGGGUGAGUAAUGUCUGGGAAACUGCCCGAUGGAGGGGGAUAACUACUGGAAACGGUAGCUAAUACCGCAUACCAUCGGAUGUGCCCAGAUGGGAUUAGCUAGUAGGUGGGGUAACGGCGCACCUAGGCGACGAUCCCUAGCUGGUCUGAGAGGAUGACCAGCAACACUGGAACGGAGACACGGUCCAGACUCCUACGUGAGGCAGCAGUGGGGAAUAUUGCACAAUGGGCGCAAGCCUGAUGCAGCCAUGCCGCGUGUAUGAAGAAGGCCUUAGGGUUGUAAAGGACUUUCAGCGUGGAGGCGUUACCCGCAGAAGAAGCACCGGCUAACUCCGUGCCAGCAGCCGCGGUAAUAC
rnacentral:rRNA from 1 species